rnacentral:rRNA from 1 species
UACGUAGGGUGCGAGCGUUGUCCGGAAUUAUUGGGCGUAAAGGGCUCGUAGGCGGUUUGUCGCGUCGGAAGUGAAAACACGGGGCUUAACUCUGUGCUUGCUUUCGAUACGGGCAGACUAGAGGGAUGCAGGGGAGAACGGAAUUCCUGGUGUAGCGGUGAAAUGCGUAGAUAUCUGGAGGAACACCGGUGGCGAAGGCGGCAUCCUGGACCGGUAUUGACGCUGAGGAGCGAAAGCCAGGGGAGCAAACGGG